rnacentral:rRNA from 1 species
AUGAACGCUGGCGGCGUGCCUAAUACAUGCAAGUCGAGCGAACGGACGAGAAGCUUGCUUCUCUGAUGUUAGCGGCGGACGGGUGAGUAACACGUGGAUAACCUACCUAUAAGACUGGGAUAACUUCGGGAAACCGGAGCUAAUACCGGAUGAUAUUUUGAACCGCAUGGUUCAAAAGUGAAAGACGGUCUUGCUGUCACUUAUAGAUGGAUCCGCGCUGCAUUAGCUAGUUGGUAAGGUAACGGCUUACCAAGGCAACGAUGCAUAGCCGACCUGAGAGGGUGAUCGGCCACACUGGAACUGAGACACGGUCCAGACUCCUACGGGAGGCAGCAGUAGGGAAUCUUCCGCAAUGGGCGAAAGCCUGACGGAGCAACGCCGCGUGAGUGAUGAAGGUCUUCGGAUCGUAAAACUCUGUUAUUAGGGAAGAACAUAUGUGUAAGUAACUGUGCACAUCUUGACGGUACCUAAUCAGAAAGCCACGGCUAACUACGUA